rnacentral:tRNA from 1 species
GUUCUUGUAGCUUACAAAAAGCAUGACACUGAAGAUGUCAAGACGGUUGCCAUCCGCACCCAAGAGCA